UUUCCCAUGGUGUAACAGGCAACACGCUGGUCUUUUCCGGCUUCCCGGGUUCGAGUCCCGGUGGGAGAA
rnacentral:tRNA from 1 species